GUAGGUGGCAGUGGUGGCGCUGCAUAGAGGGGAAACUGCUACACUGAUUCUUAGAGAAGAAGACAGAAAUCGCAAACAGCAGAAGGACAGCAGAACGAUAGUGAGCUGAAGCCAUAUUUAGAUUUUCCACACUGAGAAGAAAAGUUAAAAAUAACAUUGAAGAGCUAGUUAAAAGGGGUUUUCCCACCAAACCUACUUCUAAGGAAGGAAUAACAGCAAAGGGUCGAAAUUACGACAAGGAGUUUACUUACUUGUAUGAGUUUUCUCAGCCCAUUAUGAUGUGGUGAAGUGACUGUGCUGUGGCAGAGACUGUAGCGUGUGUGCUUUACAUGAGAGAGGUCAGGGGUUCAAGACUGAGUCGAUGGGUGUGAGGUAUGGGUAGGCCUGUCAUGGGAGGCGGAAAAAUGGCCAGCAGGAAGGUGUGCAGCAGCCACUGGAAUGACCUCUUCCACCUCCUCCACUAACAGCUCCUCAUCAGCCGGCAGUGGGAUGUGAUCCUGAAGGGCCAUGUUGCAGAAGCGCCGCCACUAAAACUACACUGCACGCCUUUGCAGGAUGGAGCUUCAGGCCACCAGCGGAUUUGCUCACACACCUUUCCACAUGCCCAGGGCCCUCUCCAAAACAACGCGGGUCCGGCUAUGGGCGUUGUUGUAUCGCGCCUCUGCCUCGCUGUUGGGCUCCUAGAUGGAGCAGUUGACAUGCUUGUAUUAUCAUAGGGGGUUGAUGGAAUAAAGUAGGUCUUGAAAUGUCAGUGCACUCAGGGAAUAUAGACAUGCAUUUGAAAACAACAGUAUAGACUUUGCUACUAUCUCAGCAGCAGAAGGCAACAACAUGAGCAGCACCUACAAUAACACUGUGUGUGUGUGUUUGUGUGUGUGUGUUAGUACAGCUGGCGCAGAUCCUUCAACCAUUUGAGCAUUGAAACAUUUGUGCUAUGUGAACUGUCAUUUUGUGGUUGUGAUUCAACACACAACUUCAUAACUACAAUGGAUAAAAAGUAAUGGUAAAAAAACUGUAUCUGUGCAUUUAAAAUAUCAUGAAAUACUUGUGUGUGGUAACAGUAUUCAGUUUUCAGUGUCACAAUGAAAACACAUAACAAGGGCAACAUUGGAAAAAUGCUGCAUAAAGGCAUGACAAAAUCGCAUUGAAAUGAAGGGCAAUCAUACAGUAAAGUAUUCAUUUAUAUAG